UACGUAGGGUGCGAGCGUUAAUCGGAAUUAUUGGGCGUAAAGCGCGUGUAGGCGGCUUUGCAAGUCGGGCGUGAAAGCCCCAGGCUCAACCUGGGAACUGCACUCGAAACUGUUUAUCUUGAGUGCCGGAGAGGAAAGCGGAAUACCUGGUGUAGAGGUGAAAUUCGUAGAUAUCAGGUGGAACACCAGUGGCGAAGGCGGCUUUCUGGACGGUAACUGACGCUGAGACGCGAAAGCGUGGGGAGCAAACAGG
rnacentral:rRNA from 1 species